CAAAAGCUUGGUCCUGACUUUUCUAUCAACUUUGAUUAAACUUAUACAUGCGAGUAUCCGCACUCCCGUGAGAAUGCCCUGAAUUUCCCCCCCACAUGCGGGAAAAAGGAGCGGAUAUCAGGCACAACCUAUUGUUAGCCCACAACAUCUUGCUUAGCCACACCCCCAAGGGAACUCAGCAGUAAUAAACAUUAAGCAAUAAGUGUAAACUUGACUUAAUUAAUAUCAAGAGGGCCGGUUAAACUCGUGCCAGCCACCGCGGUUAUACGAGAGGCCCAAGCUGAUAGACAUCGGCGUAAAGAGUGGUUAAUUUAAAUAUUAAACUAAAGCUAAACACCUUCAAAGCUGUUAUACGCAUCCGAAGAAAGGAAGAACACUCACGAAAGUAGCUUUAUACAGUAUUGACGCCACGAAAGCCAGGACACAAACUGGGAUUAGAUACCCCACUAUGCCUAGCCCUAAACACAAAUAUUUUUUAAUAUUAUCAAUACUCGCCAGGGGACAACGAGCAUAAGCUUAAAACCCAAAGGACUUGGCGGUGCUUUAGACCCCCCUAGAGGAGCCUGUUCUAGAACCGAUACUCCCCGUUAAACCUCACCCUCCCUUGUUCACCCCGCCUAUAUACCGCCGUCGUCAGCUUACCCUGUGAGGGUUUAACAGUAAGCGAAAUUGGUAAAACCCAAAACGUCAGGUCGAGGUGUAGCGCACGAGAGGGGAAGAAAUGGGCUACAUUUGCUGAACCAGCAAACACGGAUGAUGGACUGAAACUACAUCUAAAGGAGGAUUUAGCAGUAAGGGAAGAAUAGAGUGCUUCCCUGAAAACGGCCCUGAAGCGCGCACACACCGCCCGUCACCCUCCCCGACAUAAACCAAAGCCAUAAAUAAUAUGAAAACAAAACAAAGAGGAGGCAAGUCGUAACAUGGUAAGUGUACCGGAAGGUGUACUUGGAUCAACC
rnacentral:ncRNA from 1 species